GUGAAUCAUCGAAUCUUUGAACGCAAAUUGCACUCUCCUCGGAGAGUAUGCCUGUUUGAGGGUCAGCCUAUAAAAAAUCGACAUCGUUGCUGUUUCGCGGUGACGUUCGUCGGAAAUUGGGUCAUCUUAAAUCCUUUUGGUUUUAGGCGACUUAAAAUUUUCUUUUUGGUUCCAUGAACGUUUCUAAGAUUUAUUUCUUUACACGUUUAAGGGUAUCGAUUUUUAUUAGACGUGACCACCAGUUCGGAUCGCGUCCAUAAUCUUUUAUUAACUGACCUAAGACA
rnacentral:misc_RNA from 1 species